rnacentral:lncRNA from 1 species
CAAAAAUACAUCGGUAUCCUCAGCAAUGAGAGCUCAGCAACCACAGCUCCCUCACUUGCUUUACUGCUAUGGCUCUUAGAGAGCGCUGUAAAGACACGAGCCGCCCGUAAUGAAGCGAGGAACCGCUUCGUGCCGCCCGCACGGCGAGGGCUGCCUGAGGGGCGGCCGUUAGGGCCAUUGGGGCGGUUCGUGGCGUCCCAGCGCCGCGCUCUCCCCGCAUCCCGUUGCCCAGCUGCGCUCCCCCGCCGGGCGGCACUUUGCAGACGCUCCCUGCUUCUGUCUCAGCCUCUCGCAAUCGCUUCCUGCCCGCCGGUCGCUCCUCCCCGCCCCUCUCCUCGCUCUGCUGCCGUGCAGAUCCGUGCUCUGGGCCGGCACUUUGCAGACGCUCCCUACGCUCGCCCGCCUUCGGGUGGCCCGGCCCCCGCGGCGGCCGCCCCUCGGCGCGGCACAGCCCAGCCCAGCCCGCGCCGGCCUCCGCCUCGGGACCAUGGGCGAUGCGCUGCUCCCGGCUCGGGGGGCUGCGCACGGGCGGCGUCGGAGGAGGUUCCUUUAUGAUAUGUUAUUCCCAAAGUGCCAGCAGAACUCACUUGCUUGUCCUGAUUUGGAAGCUCAGCAAAACUGCUGCAGCCACUUGGCAGUGAACAUCAGGAGCAUCUGCUGAAGAUGAGUGUGCUGCACUGUGCUAAUGGGCUGGGGAAUCUGAUGAAGAACUUGAAGAAAUCAAGCAGUUUUCCUAUUCUUAUGUCUUGAGUUUAAGAGACUGAAGUGAUAUAAUGCCAUCCUUUAAUUUUCUCUACUUUUGUUCUUCCUUUGGAUUUUUAUUUUUUUUUCAGUUUGUAACAGUUACUGUAAUCCACAGCCAUGAAAAGAAGGUAAGCAGGUUUUUAUGCAAACCAGCAUUAGUUCCGUGAAUGGAUUUGGAUAUUGAGAUAGACAUUGUCAUUGAACAGUGUUUGGGGACUGCAGUUAUGGAGGACUGGUGGCCCAAGUGCUGAUACAGCCCCUCAGAUAAGAGACAUUUGCUUUCCAUGACAACACAAACUUUCAUCAGGGUGGGAAGCCUCACCCUUCUGUCCCAGACAGAACAGCUCAGCUGUACCUUGAGAAAAAUUCACAAGGUUUUGUUUCUGCCUUGCACAAAGUUGUCACGUUGGUUUUAAUCAGGUGAAGCCUUCAAGCCCGAGGUCUGUGUUCAUGCAGUCAAGCCAAGAUAUCGCUCCUUCCAGGAACUUCUGUUAAAAUCAUGGCAUUUGCCUGUGUUUGCAGCAGCUUGUGUACUAGGGAGAUACAAAGCAAAGAACAGAGAAAAGAAAAUUAGUUUGAAGGAUAGGGAUUCUCUUGUUGAAUGCUCUAAGUAGCAAAGUCCUUUUCAUGAGAAAGAUUGUAAGUCAAUGAUGUGAUUCAUUUGAUUUAUUAUUCAUGGUUUGUAUGAGCUAAGAAUCCUGUGAUCCUUGCCCUUCUUUGAGUCUCACAAGGUCCUGUUAUUCCUAUUAGCUAAGCACAUUUCUUCAUACAUCCCACAGGCAUUCUGAAAUGUGUAACCUUGACUAUUAGUCCAACUAACUGAUAUUUGCUUUACUGCUUUUUAUUUCACGAUAAAAGAUGAUAUAUUUGAUAGUAAUCAACCACUUCAUUUGACCUCAUCCUAUGUACAAAGGAGUUUUCAUAGGUAAGAAAUAGCAGGCAGGUGGUUUUAUGGUGACUUAUUUUUCUUUAAAUAAGAAAGGAGUUCCAUACUGAUAAAAAAAAUGAUUUCACUUUUACCAGCUGUUGUUCUUGUAUCAUGUCAUUUGUUACCUUCUUCGUGUACAUUUUUAUGCUGUGUGAUGUAUUCCUUUUUGCUAUAUUUCCUUAGAGUAGCUUUAUAACUAAACCUUCGUUCUUAAGCCUUGUUAAAUGUAGGAAAUGAAGCUUAUUGCUGUUUCCUGUCUGUUACCUGUUAAGGCUGCAUUUCCUUGUUUCCCUAAGAAUCAGACCAAUCACACGAGUGCUGUGACUGGUGCGUUAGUAUUUUAUGUAACCUGUUUUGAGGUUCACUCUGAGCAUUUUCAGAUGGCUUCUAAUCAAGUUGUCAUUAAAAGUAAAAGCUGCAAUGACUUUUCAUUCCUGCCAUAUUCUUUGUCCUUGGGGUUUAUUGAAUGUGUGAUGUCUCAAGAAACUGAACCUUGACACACUGGUGCAUUGUGUGAUAGCCCUCUUGUCUGUGGUGUGUGUGGCUGGAGUGGAGUAACACUCUUACAGAAGAUCUUUGGUAGUGCAGAGCUAUAUGCAUAGAUUUCACUGAGGUAGCCAAGGGGUAGCAAUUCUCUUGGGUUUUAAAAUACCAUCUCUUAUCUCUCUUUCUCCUUAUCACCUCCCUUCUCUAUCCACAUUUGUUCCUUUGCUGCAGAGAGCUGUUCUUUUCUUCUUCCCUGCUCACAGGUCUGUCUGAUAGAAUGGAAAUCCCAAUCUCCAGUUGUUGCUUCAGUGCAGUUUUUGAAAGCUGCCCUUGAACUCUAUCUUGAUGGGGCCUGUUCAAGUGCUGUGCAUGCAUUGAUUUGAUUUUUCAUGUAGACAAAGAAUAGUAAUAUUACUAGAUUUAAGGUACCGUUAAGAAAGUUUUGUGCUGUACCAUUUGCUCUCUGCAUCAGACUUAAUAUUCCUUCCUUUUUUUUUUUUCCCCUCUCUUAGAAAUUAAAAAAAGGAAUAAAUUUGAGGAGUGUUUUUUGGUAAUUAUCUGG